AAUUAUCCGCAAUGGGCGAAAGCCUGACGGAGCAAUACCGCGUGAGGGAGGAAGGCUUUUGGGUUGUAAACCUCUUUUUUCAAGGAAGAAGCAAGUGACGGUACUUGAAGAAUCAGCAUCGGCUAACUCCGUGCCAGCAGCCGCGGUAAUACGGAGGAUGCAAGCGUUAUCCGGAAUCAUUGGGCGUAAAGCGUCCGCAGGUGGCGUAUCAAGUCUGCUGUCAAAGACAGAAGCUCAACUUCUGGCAGGCAGUGGAAACUGGUAAGCUAGAGUACGGUAGGGGUUGAGGGAAUUCCCAGUGUAGCGGUGAAAUGCGUAGAUAUUGGGAAGAACACCAGUGGCGAAGGCGCUCAGCUGGGCCGUAACUGACA
rnacentral:rRNA from 1 species